rnacentral:rRNA from 1 species
UUGAACUCGGCAAAAUGACCCCGUAACUUCGGGAGAAGGGGUGCUCUGUUAGGGUGCAAGCCCGAGAGAGCCGCAGUGAAUAGGCCCAGGCGACUGUUUAGCAAAAACACAGGUCUCUGCGAAGCCGUAAGGCGAAGUAUAGGGGCUGACGCCUGCCCGGUGCUGAAAGGUUAAGAGGAGCGCUUAGCGUAAGCGGAGGUGCGAAUUGAAGCCCCAGUAAACGGCGGCCGUAACGAUAACGGUCCUAAGGUAGCGAAAUUCCUUGUCGGGUAAGUUCCGACCCGCACGAGAGGCGCAACGAUCUGGGCACUGUCUCAACGAGAGACUCGGUGAAAUUAUAGUACCUGUGAAGAUGCAGGUUACCCGCGACAGGACGGAAAGACCCCGUGGAGCUUUACUGCAGCCUGAUAUUGAAUGUUGGUACAGCUUGUACAGGAUAGGUAGGAGCCUUGGAAACCGGAGCGCCAGCUUCGGUGGAGGCAUCGGUGGGAUACUACCCUGGCUGUAUUGACCUUCUAACCCGCCGCCCUUAUCGGGCGGGGAGACAGUGUCAGGUGGGCAGUUUGACUGGGGCGGUCGCCUCCUAAAAGGUAACGGAGGCGCCCAAAGGUUCCCUCAGAAUGGUUGGAAAUCAUUCGCAGAGUGUAAAGGCACAAGGGAGCUUGACUGCGAGACCUACAAGUCGAGCAGGGACGAAAGUCGGGCUUAGUGAUCCGGUGGUUCCGCAUGGAAGGGCCAUCGCUCAACGGAUAAAAGCUACCCCGGGGAUAACAGGCUUAUCUCCCCCAAGAGUCCACAUCGACGGGGAGGUUUGGCACCUCGAUGUCGGCUCAUCGCAUCCUGGGGCUGUAGUCGGUCCCAAGGGUUGGGCUGUUCGCCCAUUAAAGCGGUACGCGAGCUGGGUUCAGAACGUCGUGAGACAGUUCGGUCCCUAUCCGUCGCGGGCGCAGGAAAUUUGAGAGGAGCUGUCCUUAGUACGAGAGGACCGGGAUGGACGCACCGCUGGUGUACCAGUUGUUCUGCCAAGGGCAUCGCUGGGUAGCUAUGUGCGGACGGGAUAAGUGCUGAAAGCAUCUAAGCAUGAAGCCCCCCUCAAGAUGAGAUUUCCCAUUCCGCAAGGAAGUAAAAUCCCUGAAAGAUGAUCAGGUUGAUAGGUCUGAGGUGGAAGUGUGGCGACACAUGGAGCUGACAGAUACUAAUCGAUCGAGGGCUUAACCU